rnacentral:sRNA from 1 species
UGCGCCUGUGGCGGGUCCGGCACGGUUCAUAUCAGGCUUCGCAGGCAGCCGAUCCGUGUACGAUCCUGUACAUUCAAGAAUUUUCUUGAAUUUAAUGAUUUCU